UCCGUUGUCGUCCAGCCGGUUCGGAUAUCUGGCUUUCACCCAGGAGACUCGGGUUCAAUUCCCGGCAACGAAA
rnacentral:tRNA from 1 species